ACCACAUCUACAAGUACCAACAACUUUUUGAUCAGAAAAUAAGAACUCGUUUGAGAACCUGAAACCUAAAUAACCUUAUUUACUGUACUGAUAAUGAUCGGGAUUACAGAUCCAAAACUUUGCUAAAUAAAUCAACAUCGUAUUUUCAACAAAAUUAAAAGUACUUACAAUAUUUUUCAUCAAAUUAUCUAUCUGUUCCGUAAGUUCUCACAAAUCCGAUCUAUCAGAUAAGUGCAUAGUUUCUUCCUUGCUUUUUCAUGCGUCGACAACAGAUGACUUGAACAUAUUCCAGUCAGGUUUUUACAAUUUGCUUGAUUUCAGUUCCAACGAUAAAUACCAACGAUGACUGUUUCUUGACAAGAAAAACAGGCGAAAGCAGCAACCAGGCAACUGUUCCAAUCAAUAUCUUCACCAUUUUGCUGUCAUCAUAAUUACCACUAUCAUUUAACCACCAUUAUCAACACCAAUUAUAAUCACCAUCAUUACCAUCGUAACAAUCAUUAUUUAUACCAUUAUAACCGCUAUCACCGGCCAAAGUAACAAAACCACUAACUUAACUAUCAGCAGUUUUGCACCAUUGUCACUAUCGCCACGUUCAUAAUCACCAGCAUCAGCACUGUUACAUUCACCAUUAUCACCACCAUCAAAACACUGCAAUAAUAACCAUGACUAUCACCAUCACAACACGGCAUUAAAAACUACCAU
rnacentral:lncRNA from 1 species